GAUGAACGCUAGCGGCAGGCCUAACACAUGCAAGUCGAGGGGUAGCAGGAUUAAGCUUGCUUAAUUGCUGACGACCGGCGCACGGGUGCGUAACGCGUACGCAACCUACCUCAUACUGGGGUAUAGCCCGGAGAAAUUCGGAUUAAUCCCCCAUAGUACUAAUGAAUCGCAUGGUUUAUUAGUUAAAGCAUUGCGGUAUAAGAUGGGCAUGCGUCCUAUUAGCUAGAUGGUGAGGUAACGGCUCACCAUGGCUACGAUAGGUAGGGGGCCUGAGAGGGUGGUCCCCCACACUGGUACUGAGACACGGACCAGACUCCUACGGGAGGCAGCAGUGAGGAAUAUUGGUCAAUGGGCGCAAGCCUGAACCAGCCAUGCCGCGUGCAGGAAGAAUGCCCUAUGGGUUGUAAACUGCUUUUAUUUGGGAAUAAACCUCUUUACGUGUAGAGAGCUGAAGGUACCAAAUGAAUAAGCACCGGCUAACUCCGUGCCAGCAGCCGCCGUAA
rnacentral:rRNA from 1 species